rnacentral:rRNA from 1 species
ACGGGUGAGUAACACGUAAAGAACCUGCCUUAUAGACUGGGACAACUAUUGGAAACGAUAGCUAAUACCGGAUAACAGCAUUAACUGCAUGGUUGAUGUUUGAAAGUUGGUUUUGCUAACACUAUGAGAUGGCUUUGCGGUGCAUUAGCUAGUUGGUGGGGUAAAGGCCUACCAAGGCAACGAUGCAUAGCCGACCUGAGAGGGUGAUCGGCCACACUGGGACUGAGACACGGCCCAGACUCCUACGGGAGGCAGCAGUAGGGAAUCUUCCGCAAUGGGCGAAAGCCUGACGGAGCAACGCCGCGUGAGUGAAGAAGGAUUUCGGUUCGUAAAGCUCUGUUGUUAGGGAAGAAUGAUUGUGUAGUAACUAUACACAGUAGAGACGGUACCUAACCAGAAAGCCACGGCUAACUACGUGCCAGCGGCCGCGGUAAUACGUAGGUGGCAAGCGUUGUCCGGAAUUAUUGGGCGUAAAGCGCGCGCAGGCGGAUAGGUCAGUCUGUCUUAAAAGUUCGGGGCUUAACCCCGUGAUGGGAUGGAAACUGCCAAUCUAGAGUAUCGGAGAGGAAAGUGGAAUUCCUAGUGUAGCGGUGAAAUGCGUAGAUAUUAGGAAGAACACCAGUGGCGAAGGCGACUUUCUGGACGAAAACUGACGCUGAGGCGCGAAAGCCAGGGGAGCGAACGGGAUUAGAUACCCC